rnacentral:rRNA from 1 species
GACGGAGGGUGCAAGCGUUGCUCGGAAUCAUUGGGCGUAAAGGGCGCGUAGGCGGCUUUUUAAGUCUGACGUGAAAGCCCAAGGCUCAGCCUUGGAAGUGCGCCAGAAACUGAAAGGCUCGAGUGCCGGAGGGGAGAGUGGAAUUCCUGGUGUAGCGGUGAAAUGCGCAGAUAUCAGGAGGAACACCGGUGGCGAAGGCGCCACUCUGGGCCGAAACUGACGCUGAGGAGCGAAAGCGUGGGUAGCAAACAGG